CCUACGUGAGGCAGCAGUGAGGAAUAUUGGUCAAUGGGCGUAAGCCUUAACCAGCCAAGUCGCGUGAGGGAUGAAGGUUCUAUGGAUCGUACACCUCUUUUAUCAGGGAAUAAAGUGUGGGACGUGUCCUGUUUUGUAUGUACCUUAUGAAUAAGGAUCGGCUAACUCCGUGCCAGCAGCCGCGGUAAUACGGAGGAUCCGAGCGUUAUCCGGAUUUAUUGGGUUUAAAGGGUGCGUAGGCGGCCUUUUAAGUCAGCGGGGAAAGUCUGUGGCUCAACCAUAGAAUUGCCGUUGAAACUGGGAGGCGUGAGGAUUUGUGAGGCAGGCGGAAUGCGUGGUGUAGCGGUGAAAUGCUUAGAUAUGACGCAGAACCCCGAUUGCGAAGGCAGCCUGCCAAGCCAUGACUGACGCUGAUGCACGAAAGCGUGGGGAUCAAACAGGAUUAGAUACCCCUGUAGUC
rnacentral:rRNA from 1 species